GACGAACGCUGGCGGCGUGCUUAACACAUGCAAGUCGAACGACGAAGCCCAGCUUGCUGGGUGGAUUAGUGGCGAACGGGUGAGUAACACGUGGGCAACCUGCCCCAAACUCUGGGAUAACUCCUCGAAAGAGGUGCUAAUACCGGAUACGAACUAGACAGACAUCUGUACUAGUUGGAAAGUUUUUCGGUUUGGGAUGGGCCCGCGGCCUAUCAGCUUGUUGGUGAGGUAACGGCUCACCAAGGCUACGACGGGUAACCGGCCUGAGAGGGAGACCGGUCAGACUGGGGCUGAGACACGGCCCAGACUCCUACGGGAGGCAGCAGUGGGGAAUAUUGCGCAAUGGGCGAAAGCCUGACGCAGCGACGCCGCGUGAGGGAUGAAGGUCUUCGGAUCGUAAACCUCUUUCAGUAGGGACGAAGCGAAAGUGACGGUACCUAAAGAAGAAGCACCGGCUAACUACGUGCCAGCCGCCGCAGUAA
rnacentral:rRNA from 1 species